rnacentral:tRNA from 1 species
GUGGGUGUAGCUCAGUGGCAGAGCGCAUGCUUAGCGUGUAUGAGGUCCUGGGUUCAGUCCCCAGUACCUUCA